rnacentral:lncRNA from 1 species
CUAGGGCCACUCCUGUGGCAUAUGGAGGUUCACAGGCUAGGGGUCGAAUCGGAGCUGUAGCCACCGGCCUAUGCCAGAGCCACAGCAACACAAGAUCCAAGCCUCAUCUGCAACCUACACCACAGCUCACAGAAACACCAGAUCAUUGACCCACUGAGCAAGGCCAGGGAUUGAACCCACAACCUCACAGUUCCUAGUUGGAUUCAUUAGCUACGGUGCCACGAUGGGAACUCCCUAACCCUGUGAUUUUUUAAUCAAGCAAAGUGUUUAGUGUGGCUGGAUAGAAAUGCUAGAGAAAUGUUCAUCCCAGGGCGUUGGGCACCCUGAGAUCCAGGGUCAAGUGUGUCCCCACACUGGAUCAUAGACCAGUUCCAUCCCUGUUUUAUAUGGGGGUCCCAGGCCAAAGCUGGGAAACCUCAUGACUGAAAUCAGAUUCUCCAAAUUACUGAAGCCUUUUAGUCUUAAGAAAAUGUCCUCCUGGAGUUCCCGUCCUGGUGCAGUGGAAACAAAUCCGACUAGGAACCAUGAGCCAUGUCAGGAACUCUGGGAAUGGUAACUUCAGAUGGAGCCAACAUUCCUGACAUUCACAAGGUCCCCACCAAUCAAAGUCAUGCACCCUGCAGUCUGUGAACUGAUACUUGGCACCUGCCAUCAGGCUCUACAUGGAUUAAAUUCUGAGCCACUGCAGCUGCAGACCCACAGCACCCCCUGAGCAGAGCUCAGGGUGAGAAUCAGGAGUGAGGCACACUGUGCUCUGGGAAAACUGGAAGAAUAGUCUCCAAAUAGCCAGAUUUAGAUUUUAUGGGCCCAAUUCUUGCAUCUCCUCAUAUAGAGAAAAACACUAAAAUCCUUCAUGGUGAUGUCUGCUCCUUGUGACCAUCAGGAGAUCAGCAACAAAAUUCUGGGAAAUGUGUACAUGCACCUCCCCCUCAAUUUUAUGAUAUCCUGAUAUUCCCCUCUUCUUCUUUGGGGUGCUAUUUCAGAGUUAUCUGAAAUACUGCCACCCAGGCUGUAGUGAAGGAUAAAACAAUGUCCUGGUCAUCUGUGAAUGCAGUCACCUCCAACGGUGAGAGCCGGUGAGUCCUCAGGUUGUGAACUACAGAUACUGGCCUUGAGCAGCCAGACCACACCUUCAGGAACAAUACCAGAGGGUCCAUGAUAUCAACAUGACUUACAAUUGAGGAUGUUGUAAUGAUCACUAGGUGGCAUCUGUCAGGUUUCUCCACUAUCAAGUUACUUUUUCUCAAAUCUCUAUUAGAAGUGAAUCACUAAAUCCUGUAUAUGCUCAAAGUGAGAGAAAUUAAACUCAACUUCUUGGAGAAGGGAGUAUCUACAUUUUUAUACCUUCAUAGAUUUUUAAAUUAUUUUUCUUUAAUCUAUUUUUAUUGUCAAUAGUUUAUUUAUAUUAGUAUGGACUCACAUUUAUUCUUUGAUUUAUAAGCCAGUAUUUGGUUGUUUUUGUUUUGUUGCUCAAUUUGCUAAAAUGGUCUAGUUUAGUGUUUGGGCUUAUAAUUCAUCCAGUCUGUGUCUGUCCUAUGUAAGUGAAUGCCAAGUUCCUGUUUCUCCCCACAGGGGCCUGUCACUCUUGAGAGUUCCUGUUGUUUGUCCUGGAACCUCAGUUCUCUGAUGGGUUGGAAAAAAAUCAUUCAUUUCCAACAACCCUCUCUCCAGCUCUCUCCAUCUCUAUAGUCAAUUGUAAAAGUUUGAUAUCUACCAGGAACACCUUUCCAUUUAUUCACAAGAAUGUCUCAGAAAAAUGCCGGGUCAAACAAGAUCCAAGAACUCACAUGAAACUAAUGAAUGUAUCAUUACAAUAUAAUUUUUCACUCAUUUCCAUGUUUUUUAAAGUCUGUUGAUCCAGGCUGGUGAUAUUAAAGAAGAUAAAUAUGGAGAGAUUAGUUUAGUUUCAUUUCUAUUCUCUCUCUUUUUACCAUUUCCAGUUGCCCCUAGCCUCACAGAAUCUAUUACACACAUGAGGACCAUAACUCUUGGCUUGUUUUACACCCAUGUUAUCAAUCACGCUUUUUUUGCCUCACAGCAAUACGCUCUCUCCACAGUGGAGAACACAGCAAAUUAUCUAAAACAGAAAGUGCACAUUACUCCUAUAAAGCAUAGAAAACAAGAAGGGGGAAUGUUCAUGUAACACCCCCAUCAAUCAGCCCUCACACAAAGGUAUAACAGGAAAUAUCCAUGGUGAUACAAGAUGAAGCCUUGGAGCUCCUGUCGUGGUGCAGAGGAAGGAAUCCUAUUAGGAACCAUGAGGUUGUGGGUUCCAUCCCUGGCCUUGCUCAGCAGGUUAAGGAUCCUGUGUUGCCAAGGCUGUGAUGGAGGCUGGCAGAUGUAACUCUGAUUCGACUCUAGCCUGUGAACCUCCAUAUGCUGUGGGUGCAGCCCUAAAAUACAAAAAUAAAAAUAAAAAUAAAAAACAAAAAAAAAUGAAGGUUUUCAAAUGGCCACACCUCCUAGGAUCUUCAAAAGAAAUGCAACAUUCAUUUUGGACUCAAGGAAGUCCAAAGGUCAAAAUAAGUCAGAGAGAGUAGACCUAAUACCUUUGUUAUAGAUUUGAGCUGAGGAAAAAUCCAUUACCCAAUGCACCUGAUGAGGAACUGAGGAAGUAGGAUGGAAAUGGACCAUCUUGUAUGAUAAAACAUAUAAAAAGGUAUUCUGACAGGAGACCAAUGACAUUUAAAUUGUAAAAAGUUGUUUUCAUCUUUCUCUUCAGAGAACACCAAUUAGAGAUCCACAGCUAUGGAGUAUAUUAUCUGAAUGAAACAGAUAGUCUAUUGACCACUUGAAAUAAUAAAAUUAACAAAACCUUACAGUUGUUUAUGACUAAAAUGACUUGUCAAAAAAAAACAAGAAACUGAAGUUUCCCAGCUGAAUGUCAUCACAACAUUCAAUGAUACAUCAAACUCACCAGAACUGGAAAGUGAGAUAAAAUGUGUGGUAUAUUAAUGGCCUUCUGAUUGCUUCUCUAGAUUCUACUGAAAUAAGUAAUGAUUCAGUAGGAGAGAAAGGGAAUUUUUCUGAAAUUCACCUUAAUAUUAAGAAUCAGGCAAUUCCUAUAUAUUUUGUCUGUUAUUAUUACAGAGAUAGAAAUCAUAAUAUGUGUCAGGUAAAUAACCCAAUGUAAUAUGGCUACCUUUUUAGGAUGUCUUUAAUACCAGGGUUCCUCUUUAUGAUACACACAAUUCUAGUUGGAUUAGGUUUUCUGGAAGAGUUUUCUGCCCCC